AGGAGAGGAGCGGUGAUGGAGGAGAGGAGAGGAAAGCCUGUCUUUUGCUGUGAAAAUCAGAGGAGGCGGGGUUGAGUGCUUCACUUCAGCCCUAGACCUGCACCCUCCGUAGUGAGCGAGCAAGUUCUCUUACCGACUCGUGCUGCUGAGCUGUGUGACGUCCUCAGUGCAGACGUUGCGUCAGCAGCCCGGAGCUGAGUGUAGAUCAGCCGGCAGUUAAACCCACUGUCCUUCCAUAUGUAAGAAAAGGUGGGUUUUUUUGCCCACCCCCACUCUUCAGAAAUCUGCUGCCCAGUUGCCAUGGAGACAGAAAUACCCCGGCAGCCAGGUGUUGCUAUGGUAACACCUGGGAAGAGAAUGAGAGGAAGAACAGGAGGAUGAAAGGAGAGAGGGAAUGCUGAAUCACUAAAAAGCUUGCGCUUUAUUCGCUUUAUUGCACGUCAUAAUCGGCAAAAUACACAUAUGUAUUUAUUCAUUUGUUUAUUUAAUUAUUAUAAAUAUGCACUGUGACAAUAAUUCUCAACCAAUGUGUCCAUUACCCCCAGUCGAAAUAUAAUAUAUCCAAUUUAAAGACCACACUUUUCUUUUGUUUGUUUCUUACCUACUGAUCAGGCUCAAAAUUAUGACCACCUCCAAGUUCCUACACACAUCAGCUCCACUGAUCAUAUAGCACACUUUUUAGUUCUGUUAUUAUAGACUGUGGUUCUUAGUAUUUUUUCUCAAAAUACUGUAUUAUCUUCCUUAGUGGCACUGCUAGACUGGAAAUGAUUCACCAAUCUGUUUGCAGGUAUCGUCCUGAGGGCAGCAUCCUGAGGGCAAUGUUCUGUGAAGGACUAGUGGAUGAUCAACAUAAAUCAACAUAAAUUGUGCAGUAACAGAUGAGCUUCAGAGUGCUAAUAAAGUGUACAGCGAGGGAACACAGUGUUUAAAAACACUGAAACAAGGUGUUCAUAAUGUUAAGUUUGAUCAGUGUAUAUUCACAUAUUCACUUUUUUUGUUUGUUUUGUUUUCUGUGUGUGGGCAGGAGUUUCUGCGUAUACCUGCAGCUGCUCAUCCUCCAUCAGUUCUGAAAAGUGCGCUCAAACCUGGCUGUCAUGUUGGGAAUGGUUGAGGAAAGUAAACAGGGUCUUGCUAUUCCAUGACAUCACAGGCUUCCUCUGCUCCCCUCCCUCCAAGCAUCUGGUAAAAGAUCGGACUAGAAAAGCAGGUUGUCUUCCAGGAAGGAACUUGAACCUCGAUCGAGCGUCAGUGUGAGCCGAAGAAAGAGAGAGAGAGAGGUGAAGUUUGUGGAGGGUGAACAGGUCCGGCUGCAGGGAAAUGUUCUGUUCUGUUUUUUUUUUUUUUUUUUUUUUUGUAGUUCUUUGUGUAGCGAUAGCACUGAAAAACAGAACCAGAUGGAACUCAUUUGUUGUAGUUGUCCUCUCCAAGACUUUUCUGCUCUGUCUGGCAUUCACUCGCUGAUGUCUGAUAUGAGUUUACAGUAUGUGUGGUGUGUGUAUAUGAGACUAUACUACUAUGGAAUUUUAUUUUAGCUUUUAUUUAACAUUUUUUAUGGUCUUCAUUAGGAAUCUUAAUGUAGAUUCACUGCUAAUGAAAUAGUUUCAAAAAUAGUUGCAUUAGAAAAAAAGUGUGGGAUUGUAAUGCUAUUCAGAAGGAAAUUAAAUGGGCAAUAUUUAUUCAACUACACAUACAGAAGUAGUCUAUAAUGCAUGUGUUAUGCAACAUGUCAAAUGUCUCAGCAUGUAAUAGAGUUUUCCAUAGAGGCUCCUAAGGGUGUCAGGGAUCGGCAGAACUAUGCCCAUGGCUCUUGUAUCUUUAAGGGAAGCUCUUUAGCAGUAUGUGGAUGAGGAUUGUCCUGUUGGAAUAAGUACAUAGGAGUGUGUGUUCAGAAAGGUUGGACACCUGUUACAGAAGCUUAUUAAUGCACCAUUGGGCUGUCAAGUGUGUAUAUUAUUUUGUGUGUAUAGAAUGCCUAGAUUUUUUUUUCUCCAAAAGGUCUCAAUUUUUUUUUCCACAAUUGUUACACAUUUUCACUCGGGGACGGAUCUGACGAUUUGGGUGGCCAUGUCACAGUAUCUGUGUCUACUGCAGCAUUAUGUAAAUAAGCAUUGUCCUUUUGAAAUAUUGUGUGUACUCAAAAAUUUAUGUAAUUUUGGGCUGUCAAAGUGCCUGUAAUCAAAACCAAAGGUGAUCUAAUACUGUACACAAUUGCUAAGGUAAAAGGAAGGCAACAUUAGAUAACCAACCUGUUUAGAUUAGAGGGGUAAAGAAACAUCUCCUGUGUGUAUAGAAGGUAUGUUAAAAGGUACCUAAGAUUAUUAUGAAUAUUCUUAAUUAUCCAAAGUCCUGUGCUUUUAAACCUUUUUGCAUUAAACUGUCUUACAAUGACAAUAGUAUUGUUUAUGGCAAUUAUCUUUAGGACAAUUUAUCAUUAGAACAAAAACAUUCAUUGUGACAGGCCUACUGUAAAUACUUUGCACUGCUG